AAAUUAGUCCUCCCAGUUCCUUUGUCCACACACAGUGGUGAUGAAUUUCGAGAGGCCAUUUAUACACAACAGCUACAUGGGAGAAGCAGAAGCCAGGACAACAGCAGAGUAGUAACUUCCUAGAUGGCUUUGUGAUGGACCAUUAGAAGAGCUGCACCUUGCCUGGGCUACCUGUGGGAUUGGCUGUUACCUGCCCACAUUUUGGACCUGAACUGCUUCCCUGUGCUUGAUAUUUCUUGGAUUGCACUGUACCGUCAUCCCUGCUCUUCUUGUGGUGCCAUUGGGGUAGGAAACUGGAGCAGAUGCGGAGAAGGCUGCUUGGCAGAAUGAACAGUGUUGUAACCUGCCCUAGGUGAAGAGCAGGUAAGAGAUCUUAUAACUGAAAUGAAUAAAUGAAUAAAAUAUAUGAAAACCAUUUGCAAAUAGGGCAUUGUUCCUUAGAAGGUAAAGAGCUACAGGAAUCGACACAUGAGCUGAGCAGGCCCAAAGAUGCACCGGUCUGGAUACUUACUCAUGAACACCACAUAUGCUCAGAGGCUGGAAACUAAAUCAUAAUCAAUCUCUGUUUGCAUUCCAAAAUGUUAAAGUUCGUUCAAUGUUAAAAUGGUCCUGGUGCACAUCCAGGCAUUUACAGACCUAGCUGAUUCAUCCGCUGAGGUGCCUGUUUUCAUGACCCAUAUUCCUCUGGUGUUUUUACUGUUGCUGUCGCUGAUGGAAGUAUUGAGGGUGCUGUUGUAUUAGCAUAUUGAUGAUUGCUAUGUUUAAACUCUGUACUUUUGUUCUGUUUGUGAGUUGCCUAGAGGCUAUUUUUGUAUUGGGUGACUAAUAAAUCAAAUAAAUAAACAAUUUCGAGUUUCAGCUGCAUCGCUAAUUACUAUCUAAAGAGAGGGAGCUGUAAGACCAUUACAUUACCUAACUGCCACUGCUCAUGGUUCCAGUGGGAGGCUUUCUAAAAUAAAUUCCAGUACUGGAGUACUAAAUGCAGCUUUUUUGUUCUUUCUAUUCCAUCACUGCCUGGGCCAUAAUGGGAGGCAAGGGAACAGGCCAGCAGGAAUAGUGAAUAGCCAGGAGCAACUCCAGGGAGAUCCUGUCCAUGAGCCCUGCUCGGGGGGUCCUGGGCAGAACACCAGACUAUGGUGGCCCCAGACUCCUGGGGUUGGCUGGUCAGGAGCAUCCCAAACCCUGAGGUUUCAAAUCAGAGACCUGGAGCAUGUUGGAAAUCAAGCCUAUAUAGGGAGAAACUGGCAACUCUCCCAGGCACCUGGCUUGGUCUCCGGUUGACCUCCCUGGCUGCAUUCCCCAGCAAGGUCCAGGCUAGGUCUCGAUAGGCGAUUCUUCCCAGCGUGGGAAGAACACACCCACUCCCUCCUGCUCCCCCGGCAGGGAAAGGAGAUAGACAGAAACGUAUUUACAUGCUUUUAUUUCUGUCUCUUCAGCAUUACAGAAAACAUGUCUGUACUCUUCAAACUCCAGCAAUCAAGUGACAAAGACUUCCUGUACUUCCUGUACAUACGCAAGAGGAAGGUCUCAGAUUACACUCUGAGCAAAUUCCGGUGCAUUGCCCUGUGAAUUGAAAGUCCCACUGUUUCCCACGGACUGUCCCAACAUUCCCAUCUGUGAUGUUUUCAAGCUUGCAGUUUGCAGCUGCGUUGCAUCCAUAUCGUAACAGGCCCUGCUGGUGACACAUCGAUCAUUAAGCACAGCUGCUGAUUGCAUAUCAUUCAAAUAAAAACAGAAUGUCUAACAAACAAACAAAUAUGUCGCUUGUUGGAAAUUAACCUCAGCUAGUGCAGUGAGUUAGGGAGGCGGGUUUCUCAGGUAGAGCUGAAGUAAGGGGGUCCCUCUUCCUCACCGGCUGAGGUAGAGGCAGCCCAGUGGAUAGGGAAUGUUUAAUGUCAGCUCCUUGCUUCUGGCCAGAUGAUCUGCAUGCCCUGAGACCCGGACGCUUGGACAAAGGCUAUAGCAGGAAGUGAGGAGCCUAGCGUGGUAGCUUGAGAUGAAGACCCUCUCUGGCUCACAGGCUGAUGCCCCUGCAGGCUGCAAUUCUAAAUGCGCUUUCCAAGGACCAAGCCCCACUGGACUCCAAAUGACCUGCUUCUCAGAAGAUGCGCUUAGUUUUGUGCUGCUGGCAGGGCUUGUCAAGGGAUCCUCCCCAAAGCUAUUCCCCAAAGCAGUUCUCAACAAGCUCUCAUGAUCAGCCGCUGUGAAUGAGUGUAAAUGGCAGCCAGAAUUGCAGACCUUGAAUUUCCUUCUGACCUCAGUAUCUACUCAGUAUCUACACAGUAUCGACCUGGCCACAGUGAUCCAUGCAACGGUCACCUCCAGGCUUGACUACUGUA